GGCCUCCGCAUUGGGAGGAGCUCGCGGCGCAUUAGCUUGUUGGUGGGGUAACGGCCUACCAAGGCGACGAUGCGUAGCUGGUCUGAGAGGACGAUCAGCCACACUGGGACUGAGACACGGCCCAGACUCCUACGGGAGGCAGCAGUGGGGAAUCUUGCGCAAUGCGCGAAAGCGUGACGCAGCAACGCCGCGUGGGGGAAGACGGCCUUAGGGUUGUAAACCCCUUUCAGGAGGGACGAAGGUUCACCGGUGAAUAGCCGUGUGGAUUGACGGUACCUCCACAAGAAGCACCGGCUAACUACGUGCCAGCAGCCGCGGUAAUACGUAGGGUGCAAGCGUUGUCCGGAAUCAUUGGGCGUAAAGCGCGCGUAGGUGGUCCUGUAAGUCCGCUGUGAAAGUCAAAGGCUCAACCUUUGAAAGCCGGUGGAUACUGCAGGACUAGAGUACGGAAGAGGCGAGUGGAAUUCCUGGUGUAGCGGUGGAAUGCGCAGAUAUCAGGAGGAACACCAAUAGCGAAGG
rnacentral:rRNA from 1 species